rnacentral:lncRNA from 1 species
CCUUGAAUUGAUAAGCAAGUUGGUGCUAAAAGUGGGUAUAAUACCAUGAUUUACAGCUCUGUAAACAAAGAGGUUGCAGCUUUAAUGGUGCUGUUUGCACCAGGUUAGCACAUUUAAGGAGAACUAACAAAGUCACUAUCGGUUAAGUCCUUUGGCUUCCUAUAACUAUGAAUGUCAGCUUUAAACUGACAGAAGAGGUGGGUUUACUUUUGACUAUGCUAACCUAAGGGAUCACCAUUUUUUAUCAGUGAGUUGGAUGUCUUCUGGUUUUGGGUAGCUGUGUGUUUCAAAUGUUGUUGCCCUUAAAAUCACUUGUAAAGAAGGAAAGGAGGUGGAUAAAGGAUCAUCCAUCUGUACACAGACAUCAGUUUGGACCAGCUCUCUGUGCAACAUACAGAAUCAGAUAAGAGAUCUAGAGGCAUUCCUGCUGUGCUUGUUUCCAAUCGUACUUCCCAUCUUUCUGGAUAUCCGGUCAUCAAAGUUGGUCAGAUUCUACUCUGAAGGGACAUGUGCUCUCCCCUAUGAGCAGGAAAACAAACUUGAUUGGGAGCACUGACCUAUAGUAGAGGGAGAUUUCACCAACCCCACCUUUCCCUUUCCACUUUUGGACCCCGACCACGCUGACAUAAAGCUCAGGAAGGGAGUAAGCUGCAGGGACACACGCUCCACACUCUCCUUCCGACCAUCACAAGAAGCCGGUUUACCGCUGUCUGUUUGCUCAGGAGGCUAGAGUCAACUGCUGGAGGGAAACAGGGGGGAGGUUUCAAUCAGGAUCAUACAUCAAAAGUUUGGAGGUGCACCAAGUCUUUAAUUAUCAGAUACUGCACAGGAAAACACAGAGCAGAUCAGCGCAGUCAGUCCUCAUUCUUCUUCCUGUGUCCUAUGCUAAAGGUCAAAGGUCACAUAAACUCAAUUUAUCAGCGGUUGCAGUUCAAAAACUGCCGAAUGCAAAUGUACACAUCUUGAAGAGCACUCAAAGCACACACAGGAAUUCUUGCCUACAGCCAAUGUAAUCAACCUGCUGUUUCCACCACAGAUUAACUAUUGUUAUACAUGAGGCUGAUGAUUAAGUUAUGCUUUUUCAGUGCUGCACUUUAAAACAAGCUCAAACAUGUUGAAUACCUGCUGGUGCAUAUCUGCUGUUUUGCCAACUGUGAGGGCUAAAAAUGAAACUCCAAGAACACAAAACUGCUAAUGCAGCCGACCCAGCGGAUAAAUCUGAUCCUUUUCGGGUGGAAUUCUGCCAUUUUAACAAGAAAACAAGUAUCAAUUUUAAAUACUGGAAACUUAAGCAGUAAUUUCAAGUUUGGCAACCACAAACUCUGAAUAUUUUAAAUAAGUGUUAUCUUUGUCCUUGGAACAUGAAAACAUGAUAAUCCUAACAGGUUUCACUAUUUUCAAGUAAUACAUUAUAGAUAAGCAUGACGUUCUUGAAUUUUCCAGUCUGGUUUGAAGCUCUUCACAGUGCAGAGUCUGCCCUUUUACAAGCUUUUAAUGAUCUUUUAUUGACUGCCAUUUUGCCAAAUUCUGCCAUUUUAAUGCUUUUUGAUCUAACAGCUAUUUAUGAUACAGUUGAUCACACAGCUCUCAUUUCUCACCUUGAUCAGUGUGAAAUUAAUAAGUAGACAGCACUUCAUUUGCCUCAGUCUCUUCUGUUAGAGAAGUUUUGUAGUCAAACUUGAUAUUGUCCUCUACUCUACUGCUGUGAGGUGUAUCCCAAGGUUAUCUUUGGGCCCAUACUGCUUGCACUUCACCUCCUUCUCCUGGCAGUGAUUCUUAAAAACAGGGCGUCUCUUUCCACUUACAUGCAGAUGAUACACCCUUACUGGAAAGCCUCAAGGACAUCAAAGUCUGGAGGUCCUGAAUUUUUUCAAAAUUUACAAGACUGAGAUCAUUGGGUUUGGACCUCGUGCUUAUGUCUGUCUAUUUGGACUGUUGUAGUGCACUUGAUGUUGGUGUUAGCCAGGCCUCACUGUUGCUCUACAAUUUCUCCAAAAUGACAAUGGUUCCCUGUCCAUUAUAAGAUUGAUUUUAAGAUAUAAUUGUCUGUUUUAAACCUUCAAACGGAAAAGCAACUCAGCACAUCUCUUACCUCCUCCAUGUCUACACCCCCCCAAGGUCUCUGAAAUAUGCCUCUUGUGGUCCCUAAGUCCAGACUGAAAACCAUCUCACCUUCUUGGAAGUGGUCCCCAAACUGUGGAACAAGUUACCCCACCACAAUAAAAUGCCCUAAACCUUACACACUCUCAAUUAUUCCUGUGUUUUUCAUUGGUCAAGCUUGGCUUGUCUUAAAAUGGGCUUUAUGGACAAAGUUGACUCGAUUUGACAAAAUACAAAUCCAUUUUAGACACAUGUGCUCACUGAUUAGUAAACCAGGAAUGGGAUUGAUUAGGCUUCGACCUCUGGACAGAAAAAAGAAAUUUUUUAAUUGUCUUCACAGAUGACUGAGAUGCAGGAACGCAUGUAACGAGAAAUCUUUCAUCCACAGGCUCAUUAGCACCACAGGCUGUGAACACCAUCGACAAGUAUGACAUGAACGGUACAUUUCACACAGUUAAGGAUUUUGAUCACUGAAUUAUACAGUGAAAGUCUUGCCAAUAAAUGUAGAGGGUCCCAAUCUGUACUUCUAGUUAAAUAAGAUGACAGAGCAGCAAGAUCUAAACUGAGUGGCUUCAUUUCUUUCAUUAUGCACAAUAAACCUAUGUAUCAAACAAACCCAUAUUUAUCCAGCAUCAUUGUCGCUGUGUGCUUUUCACUAUUUGCAUUCACAUGUCAGUUUAUGUGACAAUAUGUUAUUGGUAUUGUAAUAUACUAUUUCAAAUGGGAAUGUGCUGGUUAUAAGUAGCAAUAGUGAACAGCUUGACAGUAUCCUUAAGAAUGAGUCCUCAUAACAUUCCUGAGCUAGUCCUCCUCCACUAAACCAUUUUUUAAAAAAUGUGUCUUUAAUGGGGAGCUGCAGUGAGCAGAAGCCUGUGUCUGACUGAAAUGAGCUGCCUGCUGUUGGAGCUGUUUACAGUAAAGGUAGAAUAAUGUGUCCAAGUGUCGGCUGCAGGAAAAAGAACGACUUCUCUGCAGGGAGAAACGGAAAGGGCUGGUGUGUGACCUCUGGAAAUAGAUUAUUUGACCACUCAACAAUGUUCAUUUUGCGCAAGUUAUUGGUUAAACUGAGGCGUUUAAGAGGAUGAUUUUCACUGAGUCACUCACCACCAAGGCUUUUUGCAUGGACGUAUGAAGCUCUGCAGCUUUGGCUUUGGUCCACAAAAUGACAGUCAAACUCUGAGACUCCAGAGGCCCCACUUUCUUUGUGACGCCAACUUAUUUGGCCUCAACCCCACUCACAAACCGCAUAUAUCAUCCUCCCGACGGCCUGGAGUGCACCGUGCCACCAGAGUUUCCUUCACAGCCGCAGUAAUGCAAAACGUGGGUAAAACUCAUAAAUGUCAAAUGGUGUUUGGCCAAUCUGGGUAUAUGAGUGUGGCUCUGCGGGCUGAGGCUCAGCAGAGCGCUGCGGAGGCUUUUUAAAAAACCUCAGCCAUCUGCUUCUGAUAAAUCACAACAACUUCUGCUCGAAUCCAAAAAAGCAUUCCUUGCAUUUUAGCUAGCUAUCCAAGUAGAUGAAGGUGACAAACAAAUCAGACUAACAUCGGGACAACAGGGGCUUUUGUGCAGAAAAGACACAGCAGAGGUAUUUUAUAAGAUGCCUUUAGGAUUUUGUAGGUGUUAUGUUAUCUUGGUCUCACUUAAACUUCUAAAAUAUCAUCUAAAAUAAGCACUUUGCCUUCACUAAAUGAUACUUUAUAACUCCAUAUCUGUAAAGUCUUUUUAUUGAGCAUCUAUUUUGAAGUUGGCAUCUGUCAAAAUGGCACUGUAAAGGCGUUUCUAACGUUCUGGUCUUGGUAUACUUUCAUUCCUAUGAGUGGUUUUCUCUUGCUUUGAGAAAUAGAUUCAUCACAGAUCUUUGGCACACAAAAGCAACCCUGCAGGCCAACCUGCUCUCCAUCCACCGAAAGCUUGAAUCAAUAAACCUAUUUCUUAAAAGCCCAAACAGCUUUGUAUCAUUGAAUGCCUGUACCUUUGUGCCACCGAAUGCAAAAUUAAUGCCACCCCUGUUGUGAUUAAACCAUCGGUCUUCUCUGUAUGACAUUUAUCUGAUGUUCUGGGCUCAUUUUAAGGCGUAGUCGUUUCUCAGCAAUGGCACAGCACAAUGCCAGAGACAGAUGGCAGAUGGAACUCCCAGAUGACGUUUAAACUUUAAUAAAGAGCCAAAUACAGCGAGGAAAUAAAAGCAGGGAGCAUGCUGCUGGAUCAUUUGAAGUGGAAAUUGAUUUUUAAAAAUGUCGUUUUUACACCCGGAAAUACUUUUAUAAAAGACACAACAGCAAAAUUAUGUAUUUUAUUAGGACAAAGUGUCCUGUAACCUACAGUGCAAAACAGAUGGUUUUAAACUUGUGAUAAGUGUCAAUAACAACUUGGAUUUAUGUAGCUAUUUUUAAGUGUGCAGUUGGGUAUUGUAGUAUCGAGGAAGGUUCUAUGACACCUUCAUCCCUGUGGUGACACCACACUGUCCAUCUGGGCUGAGGGCUCAUUACUGACAUGAGUUUUGCGUCAUCUAGCGUCAAAAAGUGAAGGCGGAAGUGUGGGGCCAGUACAGAAGCCUAAGGAUUUGUUAAGUUAAUCUACAGGUGCAUAUAGUGUAACCGGAAAUGAAAAUAAUUUUCCUUCAAAACAAAAUUACAGGAAAACUUCAGUAACGUAAACACAAAAUAAAAGUUCCACUCGAAUAAUUUCACCGAGCUGAUGAAUGAAUGAAAAUGAAUGAAAAUCCAAGGGAUCCCAAAACGAACCGGAAAAAUGCAAAAUGCACUCCACAACUAUAAAUGGACAAUUGCAAAGUACAUAUAUAUACAUAUUUAGAGGGGUAUAGAUCAUAGCUUGAUCUAAAAAAACGAAACAAAACAAAAACACAACAACAACAAAACGAAAAGAGACAAAACAAAAAAAAAAACAAUAAAAAAAACAACCAAUACGAAACAAAACAAAACAAAAAAACAAAAAAAAAAAAACAAAACAACACAACAACAACAACAACAACGAAACAAACAAAAAACAAAAACAAAACAAACAAACAA